rnacentral:rRNA from 1 species
CCUACGGGAGGCUGCAGUGAGGAAUAUUGGUCAAUGGGCGGAAGCCUGAACCAGCCAAGUAGCGUGCAGGAUGACGGCCCUACGGGUUGUAAACUGCUUUUAUACGGGAAUAACGCGCCUUACGUGUAGGGCUUUGCAUGUACCGUAUGAAUAAGGACCGGCUAAUUCCGUUCCCGCAGCCGCGGUAAUUAGGGAGGUCCGGGCGUUAUCCGGGUUUAGUGGGUUUAAAGGGAGCGUAGGCCGCAUGUCAAGCUUGCUGUGAAAUGUCCGGGCUCAACCCGGGCCUUGCAGCGCGAACUGGCGGGCUUGAGGCAGCGGAAAGCAGGCGGAAUGCGUCGUGUAGCGGUGAAAUGCUUAGAUAUGACGAAGAACCCCGAUUGCGAAGGCAGCUUGCUGCAGCGGAACUGACGCUGAUGCUCGAAAGCGCGGGUAUCGAACAGGAUUAGAUACCCCAGUAGUC